GCCCGAGUAAACGGCGGCCGUAACUAUAACGGUCCUAAGGUAGCGAAAUUCCUUGUCGGUUAAAUACCGACCUGCAUGAAUGGCGUAACGAGAUGGGAGCUGUCUCAACCAGAGAUUCAGUGAAAUUGUAGUGGAGGUGAAAAUUCCUCCUACCCGCGGCAAGACGGAGAGACCCCGUGGACCUUUACUACAACUUAGCACUGCUAACGGGAAUAUCAUGCGCAGGAUAGGUGGGAGGCUUUGAAGUAAGGGCUUUGGCUCUUAUUGGAGUCA
rnacentral:rRNA from 1 species